CUUAAAAUAUAGAUAUUACAUUAUAAAUUUAAAAUUUAAAUUUUAAAUUUUAAAUCUCAAUUUUAAAACUUAAAUUUUAAAAUUUAAAAUUCAAAAUUCAAUAUGAAAUUUGAAUUUUGAAAUUUAGAAUCUAAAAUUUAAAUUUAAAAUUUUUAAUUUUUAAAUUUUAAAUUAUAAGUUUUAAUUUUCCAAUUACAAGUUUUAUAUUUUUAAGAUUCAAAUUUAAAUUUAUAAAUUUAUAAAUUUUGAUUUUGAAUUUUAAAUUUUAUGUUUUAAAUUUUAAUUAUUCAAAAUUUAAAUUUAAAAUUUCCAAAUUUUAAAUUUAAAAUUUCAAAUUUUAAAUUAUAAUUUUAAAAUUUUAAUUUUUAAUUUUAAAUUCGAAAUAUUGAUUUUAAAUUUGAAAUUGAAAGUUUUAAACCGAUUUAAAAUUCAAAAUUUAAAAUUUAAAAUUUAAAAUUUAUAUUUUGCAUUUUAAAAAUUUAAAAUUUAAAAUUUUAAAAUAAAAUUUAGUUAAUAGAUUAUUAUAUGCAAACAUAAAAAAAUUUGUCCAACAAUUUUUCAAAAUUAUUUUGGAAAAAUUACUUUAUAUCUAAACUCAGUGAAACGUCAAAUUUUAAUUUUAAUUUUUAAAUUUUAAAUUUCAAAUAUCAAAUUUUAAAUUUGUAAUUGAAAAUUUAUAUUUAGCUUUAGAAAUUCAAAUAGUAAAUUUUAAAUUUUAAAAUUUUUUUAUCUAAACUCAGCCAAAUACUCUAGAACUUUUAACUAAAAUCACUUCCUCAAAUCAAAAUUAAUUCUGUAAAAUUUAUUUUUC
rnacentral:lncRNA from 1 species